AGGAGGAGUGCUAGAUGGUGACUGGCUCCUGAGGUAUGGAGUUCACAGGGAAAUGCUUUAACAAUCUAGCAGAACAAAGUCCAGGAAGCAAAGUCUGAGAUAAAUUGUGUGCUGUAUGUCAUGACCCAAAGGUCUGAUUUUUUUUGUGUGUGCUUCAGCACUCGAAUUAUCCCCGUGGGUAUACAGCUUCAUUGCACGGAGGAGUUCUGCUGCGCAGAGAACCCGCGUGCAGGGAAGUGUUCCCGCCACUUUGCAGCGGUCUUUGCAGGGUGCAUUUCCUUUGCAACACAGAAAUGCAUGGUGCAGAGUUCCCGCUCGUCGUAUGCAAAUUCGUGCCCCGCAAUUGGCUAGUGCUAAAUUAUUCCCACGUGGCGGCUAGCGAUUGGCCUGCUAGCCGUAUAAGAGGCUUGAGCAGUUUCUGCCCAACCCAAAGAGGACUCCGCAUCCAUCUCGUGGGGACUCUGGGCGUGCGCGGCAGGGUAAUAGAAACCCUGCGUGUCGCUCAGAGGAGUUUGGUGGCCUGAUCCACCGCCCACCUCUUCCCGUCUUCGAACGGAGCCUACUAUAAGACGUAACGAUGAGUUUUAUGCGCGCUUGUCCUGGACAUGCGGAGUUUGUCUGCGUGGAGCCUUGCAACCUCCACGUAUGUUCGUGUUUUCUGUUGUAACCGCAACUCAAGCAAGUUCUCAGCCUGCACCGCGACCAUCUCGGUAUCUGGGAUUCGGAGUGCGUGGUGGAGAGAGGCCCCGAGAGGGACAACAUCACCGAGAGGAACGAAGGCCUGACGCGCGAUUCCACCAUGACGCCCACCGAAGUCAUGAUCGUUCAGUUUUUUGUUAUGAAUGUAAUUUUAUGUGUAUGUGUGUGUGCCGGCUAUUAUUUGAUUCGAUCCCUUGAGGACGAACUUUUAUUGUUGACUGAUUUUGUUUUUGCUUGUUUAGUUUCGUGAACCAUUGAGAGAGCUGUUAAUAACCCGGAUGAUAGGUUUGAAGUAUAAUUCUAUUGUGCCUUCAGCAAGGGGGGAUGUCAUGACCCAAAAGUCUGAUUUUUUUCUGUGCGCGCUUCGGCACUAAGAAUUAUCCCCGUGGGUAUACAGCUUCAUUGCACGGAGGAGUUCUGCUGCACAGAGAACCCGCGUGCAAAGGAGUGUUCCCGCCACUUUGCAGCGGUCUUUGCAGGGUGCAUUUCCUUUGCAACACAGAAAUGCACGGUGCAGAGUUCCCGCUCGUUGUAUGCAAAUUUGUGCCCCGCAAUUGGCUAGUGCUAAAUUAUUCACACGUGGCGGCUAGCGAUUGGCCUGCUAGCCGUAUAAGAGGCUUGAGCAGUUUCCGCCCAAGCCGAAGAGGACUCCGCAUCCAUCUCGUGGGGACUCUGGGCGUGCGCGGCAGGGUAAUAGAAACCCUGCGUGUCGCUCAGAGGAGUUUGGUGGCCUGAUCCACCGCCCACCUCUUCCCGUCUUCGAACGGAGCCUACUAUAAGACGUAACGAUGAGUUUUAUGCGCGCUUGUCCUGGACAUGCGGAGUUUGUCUGCGUGGAGCCUUGCAACCUCCACGUAUGUUCGUGUUCUGUCUGCGCGGAGCCUUGCAACCUCCACGUGUGUUCGUGUUUUCUGUUGUAACCGCAACUCAAGCAAGUUCUCAGCCUGCACCGCGACCAUCUCGGUGUCAGUAAAAUAAUCUUAAAAUCAA